CACGUAGUUAGCCGGUGCUUCUUUACCCAUUACCGUCACUCACGCUUCGUCACAGGCGAAAGCGGUUUACAACCCGAAGGCCGUCAUCCCGCACGCGGCGUUGCUGCAUCAGGCUUCCGCCCAUUGUGCAAUAUUCCCCACUGCUGCCUCCCGUAGGAGUCUGGGCCGUAUCUCAGUCCCAAUGUGGCCGGCCACCCUCUCAGGCCGGCUACCCGUCAAAGCCUUGGUAAGCCACUACCCCACCAACAAGCUGAUAAGCCGCGAGUCCAUCCCCAACCGCCGAAACUUUCCAACCCCCACCAUGCAGCAGGAGCUCCUAUCCGGUAUUAGCCCCAGUUUCCUGAAGUUAUCCCAAAGUCAAGGGCAGGUUACUCACGUGUUACUCACCCGUUCGCCACUCGAGCACCCCACAAAAGCAGGGCCUUUCCGUUCGACUUGCAUGUGUUAAGCACGCCGCCAGCGUUCGUCCUCGAGCCACGGAUCAAACUCUA
rnacentral:rRNA from 1 species